rnacentral:rRNA from 1 species
CCUACGGGUGGCAGCAGUGAGGAAUAUUGGUCAAUGGCCGGAAGGCUGAACCAGCCAUGCCGCGUGAAGGUCAGUGCCCUAUGGGCGUUAAACUUCUUUUGUGCGGGAGCAAUAAUGGUCACGUGUGGCCAGACGAGAGUACCGUACGAAUAAGCAUCGGCUAACUCCGUGCCAGCAGCCGCGGUCAUACGGGGGAUGCAAGCGUUAUCCGGAUUUAUUGGGUUUAAAGGGUGCGUAUGCUGUGAGGUAAGUCAGCGGUGAAAUGCCCCCGCUCAACGGGGUGAAGUGCCAUUGAUACUGGCUGGCUGGAAGGCGGAUGCGGUGGGAGGAAUGUGUGGUGUAGCGGUGAAAUGCAUAGAUAUCAGACAGAACACCGAUUGCGAAGGCAUCUCACGAAUCCGCGAUUGACGCUGAUGCACGAAAGCGUGGGUAUCAAACAGGAUUAGAUACCCGUGUAGUC